rnacentral:tRNA from 1 species
GCCCGUCUGGCGGAAAUGGCAGACGCGCCAGCCUCAGGAGCUGGUGUCCCUCGGGACGUUCCGGUUCGACCCCGGAGAUGGGCA